UCCGAAAGGGGCUAGCGUUGUUCGGAUUUACUGGGCGUAAAGCGCACGUAGGCGGUCUUGUAAGGUGGGGGUGAAAUCCCCGGGCUCAACCCGGGAACUGCCUUCAUGACUGCAAAGCUAGAGGAUGCGAGAGGUUGGCGGAAUUCCGAGUGUAGAGGUGAAAUUCGUAGAUAUUCGGAAGAACACCAGUGGCGAAGGCGGCCAACUGGCGCAUUUCUGACGCUGAGGUGCGAAAGCGUGGGGAGAAAACAGG
rnacentral:rRNA from 1 species